rnacentral:rRNA from 1 species
CAGCCGCCGCGGGAAUACGUAGGGUGCAAGCGUUAAUCGGAAUUACUGGGCGUAAAGCGUGCGCAGGCGGUUAUAUAAGUCAGAUGUGAAAUCCCCGGGCUCAACCUGGGAACUGCAUUUGAGACUGUAUGGCUAGAGUGUGUCAGAGGGGGGUAGAAUUCCACGUGUAGCAGUGAAAUGCGUAGAUAUGUGGAGGAAUACCGAUGGCGAAGGCAGCCCCCUGGGAUAACACUGACGCUCAUGCACGAAAACGUGGGGAGCAAACAGGAUUAGAUACCCGAGUAGUCCCUGUCUCUUAUAA